AAGUCGUAACAAAGUUUCCGUAGGYGAACSUGCGGAAGGAUCAUUA
rnacentral:rRNA from 1 species